CAGGUAGGGCCUGCUCACUGAAAUUAAAGAGCCGCAGUAUACUGACUGUGCUAAGGUAGCUUAAUAAUUAGCAACCUAAUUAGUUGCCGGUAUAAAUGGUCUGACGAAAAAUUACUUUUCUUUGGUUCCUUAAAAAUUAAUAUGUAGAUAAAAAAGUCCACAAACCAUAGAUAGACGACAAGACCCUAAAACCUUUAUGGAUCACCAACGACCUUUUUACUGGGGCGGUAGAUAACCCACCAUAAUCUAUAAAAACAUAAUGGAUGGCUUUAACUAACUUCUAUAAAAACAAAAAGGUACUUUAGGGAUAACAGCAUAAUUCUUAUUUAGAGCAACCCUAUCGACAUAAGAGCUUAUGACCUCGAUGUUGAAUUGAUAAUACCCCACUAAGCAAAAAUAGUGGUAUUUAGGUCUGUUCGACCUUU
rnacentral:rRNA from 1 species